GUUGGCUGAAAGUCACCUGUGGUUUGACUGUGACUAUGGAUGAGAGUUGAUUCUCUGAGUCAGCAGGUCCUCAGUUUAUUGCUCACUCUCCCUGCGAGAACAUGAAAAUCUGACCCCUGCAAAC